rnacentral:rRNA from 1 species
AUUGAACGCUGGCGGCAGGCCUAACACAUGCAAGUCGAGCGGAUGAAGGGAGCUUGCUCCUGGAUUCAGCGGCGGACGGGUGAGUAAUGCCUAGGAAUCUGCCUGGUAGUGGGGGAUAACGUCCGGAAACGGGCGCUAAUACCGCAUACGUCCUGCGGGAGAAAGUGGGGGAUCUUCGGACCUCACGCUCUCAGAUGAGCCUAGGUCGGAUUAGCUAGUUGGUGGGGUAAAGGCCUACCAAGGCGACGAUCCGUAACUGGUCUGAGAGGAUGAUCAGUCACACUGGAACUGAGACACGGUCCAGACUCCUACGGGAGGCAGCAGUGGGGAAUAUUGGACAAUGGGCGAAAGCCUGAUCCAGCCAUGCCGCGUGUGUGAAGAAGGUCUUCGGAUUGUAAAGCACGUUAAGUUGGGAGGAAGGGCAGUAAGUUAAUACCUUGCUGUUUUGACGUUACCAACAGAAUAAGCACCGGCUAACUUCGUG